AUGCAGUCGUACGAGAGUUUUUAACUCUAGUGGCGGACGGGUGAGUAACACGUGAGAAUUUACCUUUAGGAGGGGGAUAACAGCGUAUCAAUAGAUAUUACGGAAACGGCUGCUAAUACCCCAUAUGCUUUUGAGUGAAAUAGAUUUCUCUGCCUAAAGAGAAGCUCGCGGCUGAUUAGCUUGUUGGUAAGGUAAUGGCUUACCAAGGCGACGAUCAGUAUCUGGUUUGAGAGGACGAUCAGACACACUGGAACUGAGACACGGCCCAGACUCCUACGGGAGGCAGCAGUGGGGAAUUUUCCGCAAUGGGCGAAAGCCUGACGGAGCAAUACCGCGUGAGGGAGGAAGGCUCUUGGGUUGUAAACCUCAAAACUUAGGGAAGAAAAAAAUGACGGUACCUAAUAUAAGCAUCGGCUAACUCCGUG
rnacentral:rRNA from 1 species